GGCAUUUCCACAGUGCAGCCAAUCCCUGAGCUACAGGCAUGUGGGGUCAGGCGGGCUGUUCAUUCCGGAAGGGCGGCUGAGACCCUGGGAACCGGACCAGCCCAGCUCACAAGUACACAAGUAUGAAGAGAAUGUUGGGAGAGGAAGUGGCCGCUCUGAGUCAGCAUGAGUCAUCCCGUCCCAAUGAGAGUGUAGGCUGAGGUGUGUGCGCCUUUUUUUUUUUUUUGGGUCUUAAUCAUGUGGACAUCAUUGGGAAUGGGGGGAACUAAGUGACUGUAUGGUGGCUGCUUUGUAAGUUUCAAAGCAACAACAGCAGCUGUGCCUGAGCCCGUGCAUGCCUUGGGGCCAGUCACAGCACAGUUCCUGAGAAGGUGGAGCCCUCAGCUUCUCCCUGGUGAGUAUGUUUCUGACGUUUUCCCAUGAAAGCUGCAUGUGUGGCAGGGUCUGGCUAUGUCAAAGCUGUUGCUUCCUGGAGUGGACACUGCGUUUUGUUUUGUUCAGACUUUGCAGAUCUGUAAUUUUAGCCAAGUGGCUCCCUUUGCCCUCACCCCCAUAGUGACUGUUUAAGCCCGGCUCUCUGGGGAGCUGCCUGGCCGUGCACUGGGAAGUGUGGGUGCUCUCUGUACUGUAUGCUGUCUUGGAACAGAUGGCAGAGAUAGCUGUGCUUGUCUGGAAAAUGAGCUGCCAAGGACUCCUUUCCAGAAGCCACCGGUGAAGCUUGGAGACAGAGAAUAACUGGGAGAUGAAACAGGAAGCUCUGUGACACACUUGAUCGAAAAUGACACAGAUCGAAAAAUCAGGAUUUGACCCCCACCUCCAGCACCUUUACCUGCUGCCAGCAGAUCACAGCUGGAAAGCAGGCGAAGGGUUUGCCCUGGGACCAAAUUCUAACCACCAUGGAUUCUUGAGGGCCUCUGCACUCACUGGUGAUGUGUCUGCGAUAUUUUGGUCACUGUCAACUCUGGUCAGUUUCCUAUUUAUCUGGUCAGUGUCUUGUGUCUUACUCCUUUCUCCUUCAUUAAAAGCAAAACUAAAGAAAACUGAAUUGUUUGUUUAUUAGCUACAUUUGAACACUAAUUUAAGGGAACAGUGUUUGAGAUGAAUUUCUCCAAGGCCACAAAUAAAAAUCUUAUCAUAACCACACGGAUCAUCAUGACAUCGUUAUAUUGUGUUGAACUUGAAUCUUUUAUUACUCAGCCAUGUUUGUCCUACUUCUUAUAUCUCUUUAGAUCUCCCUUGAGUCAGUAUGAGCAAGUUGACAUUUGAGAAGAGCAUUGGGAUUCGUCUGAAAGUCUCUUUCCACACCCACCCUGAUCGAGGACUGUAGCUGUGAACCCAAGAUUACUCCCAACCUUGAGCUUUACACUGGAGAGACCUCAGAUUUCUUUGCUCCCUCUCGUACUCCACAGAUCCAUCACCUCUUUGCUUAUUCAUUCCAUAUAGAUUUCUCUGGGACCCACUGUGUAGCAGGUUCUGGAGAUAAAGUAGUGGACAGGAUCAGCUCUGUCCACUUUCUGGGCAUUUCUAGCCUCCUUAUGAGCGGGCUUUGUUCAGUAAGUGUCAAGGAUUGCUGUGUGCAGCUUGUCACGGGCAUUGUAUUGAGAUGCACUGAUUCCCUGGAUCCACCCACUCUUCAAACCUGAGACACUGGGUUUGGCACUUGGAUAUUCUUUGAAAUGAUUGAUUUCUUCUGCAGAGUCCCUCUGUUCACCAUAGUCACAAGCAGGACAGUGUGACCUUCCUGGGGACAGGCCAAAGAGGCCAUUGGUAGCCACCUCCCAGUUCUUUUUUUUUUUCCAGUACCUGGGAUCGAACUCAGGACCUUGAGCUUGCGAGGCAGGCAGGAGCAUGACUGAGCUAAAUCCCCAGCCCCUCCCGUGCUUUUUGCCCAUCUUCACUUUUAAAUGUCC
rnacentral:lncRNA from 1 species